GCAAACUUGGUCAUUUAGAGGAAGUAAAAGUCGUAACAAGGUUUCCGUAGGUGAACCUGCGGAAGGAUCAUUAUUGAAUAAACUUGUUUUUGGAAACAAAAACAAAUUCUCUUCAAACACCUGUGAACGAUAUUAAACAUUUUGCUUUGGCUUGGAGUCAACUUCGGUUGAUUUCAGGCCAAAGGUUUAAAAUCCAAACUCUUUAUUAUAACUAAUGAAGUCUGAAAUUGAAAAAUUUUAAUUUAUCAAAACUUUCAACAACGGAUCUCUUGGUUCUCGCAUCGAUGAAGAACGCAGC
rnacentral:misc_RNA from 1 species